rnacentral:rRNA from 1 species
GAUGAACGCUGGCGGCGUGCCUAAUACAUGCAAGUCGAGCGAACAGACGAGGAGCUUGCUCCUCUGACGUUAGCGGCGGACGGGUGAGUAACACGUGGAUAACCUACCUAUAAGACUGGGAUAACUUCGGGAAACCGGAGCUAAUACCGGAUAAUAUAUUGAACCGCAUGGUUCAAUAGUGAAAGACGGUUUUGCUGUCACUUAUAGAUGGAUCCGCGCCGCAUUAGCUAGUUGGUAAGGUAACGGCUUACCAAGGCAACGAUGCGUAGCCGACCUGAGAGGGUGAUCGGCCACACUGGAACUGAGACACGGUCCAGACUCCUACGGGAGGCAGCAGUAGGGAAUCUUCCGCAAUGGGCGAAAGCCUGACGGAGCAACGCCGCGUGAGGGAUGAAGGUCUUCGGAUCGUAAAACUCUGUUAUUAGGGAAGAACAAAUGUGUAAGUAACUAGGCACGUCUUGACGGUACCUAAUCAGAAAGCCACGGCUAACUACGUGC